GACGGAGGAUGCAAGUGUUAUCCGGAAUCACUGGGCGUAAAGGCGUCUGAUAGGUGGUUUAAAAAGUCUAUUGUUAAAAAUUGAAGCUUAACUUCAAAAGAUGCAAUGGAAACUUUUUAAAACUUGGAGGUAUGGUACGGGGUAGAGGGAAUUUCCGAGUGGAGCGGUGAAAUGACGUAGAUAUUGGAAAGACACCAACGGCGAAAGCACUCUGCUGGGCCGACACUGACACUGGAGAAGACGAAAGCUAGGGGAGCGAAUGGGA
rnacentral:rRNA from 1 species